GAUGAGCGCUGGCGGCGUGCCUAAUACAUGCAAGUCGAGCGAACAGAUGAGGAGCUUGCUCCUCUGACGUUAGCGGCGGACGGGUGAGUAACACGUGGAUAACCUACCUAUAAGACUGGGAUAACUUCGGGAAACCGGAGCUAAUACCGGAUAAUAUAUUGAACCGCAUGGUUCAAUAGUGAAAGACGGUUUUGCUGUCACUUAUAGAUGGAUCCGCGCCGCAUUAGCUAGUUGGUAAGGUAACGGCUUACCAAGGCAACGAUGCGUAGCCGACCUGAGAGGGUGAUCGGCCACACUGGAACUGAGACACGGUCCAGACUCCUACGGGAGGCAGCAGUAGGGAAUCUUCCGCAAUGGGCGAAAGCCUGACGGAGCAACGCCGCGUGAGCGAUGAAGGUCUUCGGAUCGUAAAACUCUGUUAUUAGGGAAGAACAAAUGUGUAAGUAACUAUGCACGUCUUGACGGUACCUAAUCAGAAAGCCACGGCUAACUACGUG
rnacentral:rRNA from 1 species